CGCGUAGAAACUGCCCAGUAGUGGGGAUAGCCCGGGGAAACGUCGGAUUAAUACCGCAUACGCUCUACGGAGGAAAGGGGGCCGUUUGGCUCUCGCUAUUGGAUGUGUCUGCGUGGGAUUAGCUAGUUGGUGAGGUAAGGGCUCACCAAGGCGACGAUCUCUAGCUGGUCUGAGAGGAUGAUCAGCCACACUGGGAACUGAGACACGGUCCAGACUCCUACGGGAGGCAGCAGUGGGGAAUAUUGCACAAUGGGCGCAAGCCUGAUGCAGCCAUGCCGCGUGUGUGAAGAAGGCUUUCGG
rnacentral:rRNA from 1 species